GAUAACCGCUGACCAGAAUGCUUUACCACCAUGCAAGUCAAUGAUUAAGUAUAGCUUGCUAUACAAGGUCAUGCGGACGGGUGAGUAACGUGUAAAGAACUUACCUUAUAGACUGGGAUAACAGAUAGAAAUGUCUGAUAAUACUAGAUACUAUUACACUGUGGCAUCACAGAGUAAUGAAAGAAUACGCUAUAAGAGAGCUUUGCAUCCUAUUAGCUAGUUGGUAAGGUAAAGGCUUACCAAGGCGAUGAUAGGUAGCCGGCCUGAGAGGGUGGACGGCCACAAGGGGACUGAGAUACGGCCCUUACUCCUACGGGAGGCAGCAGUGGGGAAUAUUGGACAAUGGAGGAAACUCUGAUCCAGCAAUUCUGUGUGUGUGAAGAAGGUCUUCGGAUUGUAAAACACUUUUAGUUGGGAAGAAACAAAUGACGGUACCAACAGAAGAAGCGCGGUA
rnacentral:rRNA from 1 species